rnacentral:rRNA from 1 species
AUGGGAGCUCUAUGGUGGAGCUACCAGUAUCUUGAUGAGCAGGUCAGGCGAUGCUUCGCUUACUGCAGUAUUUUUCCCAGGCGGCAUAAGUUGAGACGUGAUGAGUUAGUAAAGUUGUGGGUGGCAGAAGGGUUUAUAAAGACUAGUAAGACUGAAGAGGAAAUGGAAGAUGUUGCUAAAAAUUAUUUUGAUGAAUUAUUGUCGGCCUCAUUUCUGCAAUUAGGAGGGAAAGAUUAUGAUGCACAUGAGCUCCAUGAUCUGCUGUGUGAUUUAGCAGAUGAGGUUGCCGGAAGAGAUUGCUUCAGGAUAGAGAAAGACUUCACAGGAGAAGUUCCUCCUGGUGUCCGCUAUCUUUUUGUUGGGACUUGUAAUAUGGAGAUGCUUACUGAGAAGAUAUAUCGGUUACAAAAUUUGCGCACUCUCAUCAUUGAUGGCUUGAUAAAAGUUAAAUCAGACAAUCACAAAGCCUUCAAGAGUAUGUUCGCUAUGUUCACGAGGCUGACAAAAUUGCGGGUACUGAAAUUACAUGUCGCGCUGCUUUAUAAACACACAUUCUCAUUCCCAGAUUCUAUUGGUGAUUGGAAGCAUCUACGCUAUUUUGCUUUCUGGGUGAAAGCAAUGGACAAGCUAACUUUACCGGCCACCUUUAGCAAACUUUAUCACAUGCAGGUGGCAGAUUUUCGUUUUUGUGGUAGUUUGACGUUUUCUAGUGGUGAAGACAUGAUGAGCCUAGUCAACUUGCGCCAUGUAAUCAGCAAAACAGAUCUGGAAUUUGCAAACGUUGGCAGGUUGAUAUGGCUCCAAACGCUACCAUUCUUCAGAUUUAGGAGGGAACGGGGUUACGACUUAUGA